AUACCUUCUCGGCCUUUUGGCUAUGAUCAAGUGUAGUAUCUGUUCUUAUCAGUGUGACAACUGAUAUGGAUCCAACUGGAUCCAAAAUGUCACAAAAAUUUUUGUUAGGGGAAGGUGAAUCCUAGAGCUUGCUCUUGUUCCCUUCAAGCGUUGCCUGGCCCUCACACACUCGGCCUGAGCGGCGCACCCAUC
rfam:Eimeria mitis, Houghton, WGS project CBTT01000000 data, contig: Emh_scaff11732_1